GAUGAACGCUAGCGGCAGGCCUAAUACAUGCAAGUCGAGGGGUAUGGGUUGCUUGCAACCCAGAGACCGGCGCACGGGUGCGUAACGCGUAUGCAAUCUACCUUAAUCAGGGGGAUAGCCCGGAGAAAUCCGGAUCAACACCGCAUAACAUUGAGUUGUGGCAUCACAGUUCAAUCAAAUAUUUAUAGGAUUAAGAUGAGCAUGCGUGACAUUAGUUAGUUGGUGAGGUAACGGCUCACCAAGACCACGAUGACUAGGGGAUCUGAGAGGAUGACCCCCCACACUGGUACUGAGGCACGGACCAGACUCCUACGGGAGGCAGCGGUAAGGAAUAUUGGGCAAUGGGCGCAAGCCUGACCCAGCCAUGCCGCGUGCAGGAAGCCGGCCCUAGGGGUUGUAAACUGCUUUUGUACCGGAAUAAACCUUCUCUUGCGAGAGAAGCUGAACGUACGGUAAGAAUAAGGAUCGGCUAACUCCGUG
rnacentral:rRNA from 1 species